rnacentral:rRNA from 1 species
CCUACGGGUGGCAGCAGUGGGGAAUAUUGCACAAUGGGGGAAACCCUGAUGCAGCGACGCCGCGUGAGUGAAGAAGUAUUUCGGUAUGUAAAGCUCUAUCAGCAGGGAAGAAAAUGACGGUACCUGACUAAGAAGCCCCGGCUAACUACGUGCCAGCAGCCGCGGUAAUACGUGGGGGGCCAGCGUUAUCCGGAUUUACUGGGUGUAAAGGGAGCGUAGACGGCCAGAAAAGUCAGAGGUGAAAGCGCAGGGGUCAACCCUGGGACUGCUUUUGAAACUGCCGGGCUGAGGGGCAGGAAGGGUAGGCGGAAUUCCAAGUGUAGCGGUGAAAGGCGUAGAUAUUAGGAGGAACACCAGUGGCGAGGGCGGCUUACUGGACUGUAACGGACGUUGAGGCUCGAAAGCGUGGGGAGCAAACAGGAUUAGAUACCCUGUAGUC